rnacentral:tRNA from 1 species
GAAACUGUGGCGGAGUUGGUUAACGCGCCCUGUCUAGCGAACUUGGGGAGACGUGGGUUCAAAUCCCACCAGAACUA